GGACGAGCUAUGAGUCUUGCCACCGGUCCAGCUGGGUUUCCUCUAUUGAUCUUUUUGGCCUUAGGGGUUAUCAUCUCCUUCAUACUAAAGAAAAAGGACAGGAAAGGAGGCGCUGCUGAGUGGGAGUGAUGGGACAACGUAAACAAUGAGACAAAAUACAUGCUCCUUGCGCGGUAUCUAAUUUGCUUAUUAAUAAACACAAAUUUAUGCACUCGUAUCCUUACAAAAUUAAUGACAAAUUAUCAUUCUUUAUUAUCUAUUAAAAAAUGUAAAAAGAUUGCACUAUUAACUCAAAAUUGAGAAAUAUAAGAUUUUACUGUUUUGCUCUUUCACCAUUUCAUACUGGGAUUUAAGGGUUCAUCUCAGCAGAACUUUAAGACCACUUAAGAGAUGAGCACAAGUAUAAGUGGAGAGCUGAAAAAGACUCUGAGAAUCUUUGUUAAUAUGGCCCCUGGUGCUAGGGUACACUGCCAGAAGCCUUAGAAGGUGCAGAACAUUUGGGCAACAUCAUAGGGCUUAAAAUAAAUUCAGUCCUAUACACAAAUACAAAACACCACCACACAACACAACCUAGGCCAUGCCCCACACCUGAGUUUUAUUUUCCAUACAGUAUGUGCAAUUCUUUGUUUACUCAUCUACGGUACACUACGUAUUUUCUUUUAAUAUAUUUUAAUUGAUGUGUUAUAUGGUACAGUACUAUACUCUUUUUAUUAUAUUUAUUAAUUUAUUAAUUUUGAGGCUAGAAAAUACUUAUUUCAUCACAUAUAUAAUUAAAAUCUAAAAAAAACUAUCAGCCGCAGAAACCCACAAUAUACUGAGGAGUCCUCAAUACAAAUUUACAUAUAUUAGCCAGGAAAAUCUGCGAUGUACUGAGGGUGUGAUGGGUGAACCACGAUAUCGCAAAGAAUUACUGCACAUACACACCCAGCAGGCAUGACUCACUCAACUCUUCCUUUCCCCCCCUACACAACUUACAAUACCAUCUCACAUAAGGAGCAUAAUUCAAAGCCAUGCACCUGAGGACCCCUCAGCCCCAUGGUACCACUGUACCAUGUUGACCCCCAAGUGGCACCACUUUAAAAGGAGUGUGUGUCCACUACUGCAGUACAGUGACCACUCAGCUCCCUUCCCGUGGGGCGUGGGGCAACGAAAUAUCAUAGAAAAUCUCAAAAAAUCAUGAAAAAUGAAAAAUAUACCAACCACUAGCUCAGUUAUAUGGCAACACUGUGUUAAUUUCAUUUGAGUAUCUCAAUUAUAAGUGUUUACACGCCCAUUCCCCCAUAAAAGGUGAAUUUACUCUCUCAGACCGGAGGCAGUGGUAUUUUUUGGAAAAAAUUCGAGAGAAAUCCAUGAAAAAUCAAACAAGUGAAAAUUACUUGCUCACUCAUAUGGUAACACAUCAGUGGUUCCUCUGGGACACCAGAUACCGGCGUCUUCCAGUAUUGCAAAUAUGGAUACGAAAGUAUCCUUUGGAUACUUUUUGAUGUUACUGGUACGUUUUUACGACGAUGAGCAAAAGGAUACAAAAUUUUAUGAAUGGCCAAAAAUGGAUACAUUUUGCUACUUUUUAUAGAGAAUUGGAUACUUUUCAAUAUCCACUUUAUUAUUUAUUAUUUUUUGGCAAAAUGUGGUUAGUUAAUUUACUCUUAUUUUCUAGUAAUAUAUUAACUACUUCGUAAGUGUGGACAACGGGGAGUUAAAUCAGUAAACACGUCAUGGGCUUGUUGACUCAUUCUGUUCACGUUCGAGAGUUGGGACCCGAACGUCCAGCUCCAGCCUAAGUGCUAAACUCAGUGUCUGACUGACUCUGUUUCUGAGGAAGUUAAUUACACUGCUUGUGUCAGACAAAUGGAAUGUCUCUCUUACGCUGGCUUCAGAAAGGGAGGAAGGAUGAUGGUGAAAAUAGGCGCACGGACAAACCCUCUGUCUCAGACUCUGAUAAUCCUGAAGCUGAUCCAGAUGACCCACUGGCACAACCACCAUCCUCUAUUGAAAUGAGCGAUGUAGGUGAAGAAGCUCCAUCAUCCACUCCUGGGUCUAGUGGUAUUUCUGGUUAGUUAAUUUACCCUUAUUUUCCAGUAAUUCUUUAAAACAAUUAAUUGUCUGAAACAAGCAAAAUUAAGAAAUUUUGAACUUUCGUCUAUUACAGAAACCCAUCCGAUAACGUGAGAAAUAGGUUCUGGGGGAGCUGUAGAUGAAGAGGUACUAUACUGUACAUGCUUAACACUCAGUCACUCAGUCACAGGUAGGACUGAAGAAGGCGCUGUUGAGUUCGAGGAAUCUGUCAGAGAGGUUGAAGCUGAUACUCCUCUAAUUGAGGAUUCGGAUGAAUCAGAAACAGAUGACAGUCAGCCACCAGCUACUGAGAAGUCAACCUCUCGUAAGCGUGUGUCAAACCCUAGUUCAUCCAAGAAGUCAAUACCUCCGGAAAAGAGGACAAGGAAAUAUGCUAUGAAGUGGUCGGUCAGAAGAUCCUAAGUUUGCAUGUUUCUCCAGGUAUGAAGGAGAUAGAGAAGAAAUGAAAGGAAAAGCAUUUUGUAAUAUUUGCGCUAAAUUAAUUGAAGGGACAGUUUCUCAUAUGCAUAGGCAUCUGAAAACUAAAUAUCAUACAAACAGAGCAAAGUCUGUGAAAUCCCCUUCUGUAUCAUCUCUAUUUGAAAAGAAAAAUCUACCUGCAAGGGAUGCAGAAAAACUUAGACUAAUGUUACUCAAAUUUCUUUGUGAACACAAUAUUUCUUUUAAUGUCAUGGACCAUCUAUUGAAAGUUUUGAAACAUGGAACCACUGAUUCUCAAAUUAUAAAAUCUGUAAGGUGUGGAGUGGAAGACAAACUUCACGAGAAAUAGUAGUGAAAUGUAUAGGCAAUGAAAGCUUGAAGGAAAUUGUAGCAUGCUUAAAGACACACAAAUAUUCCAUAAUUGUAGAUGAGAGCACUGAUGUAUCCACUACAAAGCAGUUAGCCAUUGUUGUCAGAGUAGUGAACACUCAGCAGUGUACAGUUGAAGACAAAUUUUUACAAUUGCUAGAUGUAGAAGAUUCCAGUGCUGAAGGACUGUUUCACCUAUUGAGUACUUUUUUUUGAUGAAAAUGGCAUUCCAUUUGAAAAUAUGCUUGGAUUUGCUGUUGACAAUGCGUCAGUCAUGAUGGGGAGUAUGGGUGGUUUAAAAGGCAAAAUUGCUGGAUAGAGUCCCUCAUUUGUUUGUCAUUGGAUGUAUUUGCCAUUCAUUAAAUCUCUGUUCCUCUGCAGCCUGUCUUAAGCUUCCAAGUUCUGUAGAAACAUUGUGUAAAGAUAUACAUAACUUCAUUAAUCCCAGCCCUAAGAGACUGUUGAAGUUUAAGGAAUUUCAACAAUUUGUUAGAGUUGAUGUACACAGAGUUCUAAAUACUAGUCAAACAAGAUGGCUUUCCCUAGAAUCAGUUGUUAACAGAACACUAGAACAAUGGUCAGCACUAAUUCUUUUCUUUCAGUCAGAAGCCUUGGAAUCUCAAGUAAAGUCUGCAGUGCAUAUACUGAAUGCCUUGAACAAUCCUCUGUUCAAAAUGUACUUUACUUUCCUUGGGUAUAUUCUGCCCAUUAUCAAUAAGAUGAACAGAGAAUUUCAAAGUGAAUCAGUCAUGAUACACACUGCAUAUUCUAACAUCUGUGCCUUUUAUAGGACUAUUCUGAGCAAUUAUAUAAAGAAAGACAUACUAAAAUCGAAGUCAGAUCCAUUUGAAGUGGAAUUUAAAGACUGUUCCAAUUUCCUGCCUGAAAAUGAAUGGUACUUUGGCAGCAAAGUAGAGAGUAUGCUGGCAGAUAAAAAUGUGUUAGGGGAACUUGGAUCUGAAGCUUCCAGAUUUCAGGUGAGAUGUCUGGAUUUUUAUGUAGAGCUAUCAAAGCAAAUCAGUAAAAGAUUCAAAGGUUUGAGUGAUGUACUCCCGUUGUUAAAUGCCUGUGACCCUGCCAUAGCAAGAGAAAAUAGAGUUACAAGUCUAGUGCCACUGUUCAAAAAAUUUCCUCAACUGAUUAAAGAAUCAGAAUAUGAUGUUUGCAAUGAUGAAUGGCAGUCACUUACUUUUCAUGAAGAUGCUUUGAGUACAUCAAGUAACCCCACCGAGUUUUGGUGUUCAGUACUAAAACUUAAGACUAGUGAUGGAACACCUGUGUUUCCAAAUCUAGCUGAGUUAAUGGUAAAUUUGUUAGUUCUACCACAAUCAUCAGCUGCAGUGGAGAGAAUUUUUUCACAAGUAAAAUUAAUAAAGAUAGACCUAAGAAAUAGACUGAACACAGAGUCAAUAAAUGCACUUAUGUUAAGUAAAGGUAACGGGGGAGCAGUUCCAAUGGGAGCCAAAUUCCUUGAUGAUAAGAUCUGCUCAAAAUGUGUUCAGUGAGGCUAAGCAAAGCAUAUAGGUAGCUUCAUUGGCAGAAAAAGAGUCUGCGUUUGUAGUUUUAUUAUUAUUAUUUUUUUUUUUUUUAAUUAAGGUUAUCAGAUAUUCAUAUUUUGUACUUUGUAGUAUUAAUGUAGCCUAAGUUAGAAAAUAAGUUGUCGAGGCUAUCCAAAUACAGCCUGCCAUUGAAGGUAUUAACAAAUCUGUGUGCAAUUAGAGACGUCGCAGUGAGCGUUUUGAUACCAGAUAGCGCCAGAAUUUUUAAUUCUCGCCGGAAAAUAAAUACUUUUUGGGGCAAGGUUUUACAAGCUUACAAAGGUGUAUCGUUGCACAGUAAUGCGUCUGAAUUUUAAGUCAAUUAAUUUCGUGAUAACUGACAGCACAUGACAUUGUUUGAGCCUCUAUUCAUAAUUUCAGAUGAUAUUCUUAAAAGAGCCUUUAAGUGUAUCAAGGCAGGCAAUCUGUAAUUUUCUACUGACCUCAAUGGAAGUAUACUAAUAUAUACUUGCAUUUUCAUGUACUAAACAACAGGCAAAUCCAUUUAAUGUAAAGAAAAUAUAAUUUUGUAUCAGAGACUUUAUUUUUGUGGUACGAUCACUAUCCUCGGGUACUUGGGCAGCGAGCAAACCAAAACACAGGACCACGCUUACUGGACUACCCUGCACAAUGGAUACAUCACCGCCACAAUCAUGGACUACUGCGGAAUUAAGAAAAUUCCUGAAAGAACGAGCUAUACCCUAUCCUGGAUAUAGUAAAGCAAAGUAAAGGCCUUUGUAUCGACAGAACUGAGAGGCUAUUGUUUACACUUUACAUUCCUUCUUAACGGCGUGCGGCGCUUUCUUUAACUGAAGAAUCAUGAUCAAGAUAAGUACGUCGUACGUCCGCCAGCGGUGUUGUUCUUUUUUUAUUUCACUGAUUACUUUCAUAUACAGGACGUGUCAGUGAUAUCUGAUAUUUUUCAACAUUCCCAGAUAAAAUGCACAAGCCGAAGUCAACAUCCUUUUAUUUUUACUGUUUAUACUUACUAAAAAAAAAAAAAAAUCAUUACCUAUUUUUAGUUUUAUCUUAUAAUUCAAUUAACAAAGCCUUAUCAUACACCAGUAAGUAUGAAUAUUAAUAUUAAGGGUUAUGUUUUUAAUUUUAGAUACACUUGUGCAGCAAUUCAUGCUGUACUUUUCCUGCACAUCGAUUUCAAAUUUAGCUAAGACACCCCUUUGCCCUAGGAAAUCGGAGGCAAUUAAAAAUGCUGGCCCUGAUAGGUAUCUACCAGCCUCACUGCGACGUCUCUAAUUGUAGUAGCCUACUGGCAUCAUUUAUUUAUUUAUUUUCUAAUAAAAGUGCACUUAUACAUAAAUAUAAUGUUUUGGAAGACCCAAUCAAAGGGUUUAUAUUAAUGCUCCAAAUGUGUAGUGAACAUUUCUCCACCACUAGGCAGCAGUAAGCAGCUUGGCUGCCAACCGUAUGAUGUCUAUUACACCAUGGUAAGAAAUAAUUUAUUUGUAAUCAUAGUUUUCAUGAACUAUAGGGCAUAUCGUAAAGAAAACCAUAUGGAGUUCGCAGGCUGCAUCACGUCACCGCAUGCCACCCCCUUGCCCAGCUGCUCACCACGUGGUCCCUCACCCGAGAAGACAAGCGCAGAGAAAAGGAAGAAGUUUGCACACAUUGAAAGUAAGGAUCCUGCAGACACAACGUAUAUAUACGUCAAGAAAAACCGACUGCAGGAACUGGCUGGGAAUAUUGUGUGUAGUGUGUGUUUUACGGACACUAUUGUAUGUGUUUUUACUGCUUGAUACAGAUGUAAAAAUGCAUUGUACGAACUGUGCAACUGUUGCUAUGGACACAAAGGGUGGUGUUUUGGACAUUGACGUGACUUAUGCUGGCACCUGGCACACACGUGGACAAAAGUCAUUGCUGGGUGCAGGUGCCGUCAUUGAUGCCAACACCGGUCACGUACUAGAUUAUGAAACAAUGUCUAAGUAUUGUGAAUUGUGUUCAUAUAAAAAGAAAACCCUAAGCAAAGAGAAAUAUGAAGAGUGGUAUGCAGGACACGUCAGCGAGUGCCACAUCAAUUAUGAAGGCUCCUCAGGUGGGAUGGAAGCUGCUGCUGCAGUAAUUCUGUGGGGGCGCUCGCUCUCACACAACAUGAGGUACACCACAUUCAUCUCUGAUGGUGACAGCAGUGCAUUCCUGGCAGUGAACAAAAUGCACAACAAUGUUGGACCAUAUGGAAAAGAUCAUCCAGUAACCAAAGAGGAAUAAAUAAACCAUGUUUCCAAGUGCCUCGGGACUGCCCUCCGGAAGUUGUGCAAGAUGACAGCAACUGAAAUUCUUCCAGAUGAGAGUAAAAGAAGAAAGAGGAGUUUGGGAGGCAGAAACAGACUGACAGACAACGUUAUCACACGUCUGCAGUAUUAUUUUGGAAUGGCUGUGAGGCGGAAGAACACCACAGUGCAAGAGAUGAGGGAUGGCAUCAUGUCAUCAUUCUAUCAUUGCUCAUCAACCGAUGACAAGCCAACACAUCAAUUGUGCCCAGCCACAAAGGACUCCUGGUGCUUUUACAACAAUGCAAUAGCAAAUAAUGAAGAACCGAAGAGCCACAAGAACAUGAAGAUUAGAUUCGAGCUUGAUGAGGAUGAGCUGGCGCAAGUGAAGGCUAUCUAUGAUCGGUUGACAGAUGAUGGGAUGAUGAUAAAAUGUUUGCGUGGCAAAACACAGAAUCCAAAUGAGUCCCUCCACUCACGCAUAUGGAGACUUUGCCCCAAACAUAAGAAUGCCAAUAAACCCAUGCUAAACUUCGCAAUUGCACAAGCAACUGCAAAUUACAAUUGUGAUUAUGAGGCAAGUUGCCUGGAUUCACUUCUUGGAGUAGAACACACCACAUUGAUGAGCAAAUACUUGAAGAAUCAAGAUGCUAAGAUGAAUGUGAAACCAUGAUUGAGGAUGAGAAGAAACUCCAGAAAGAUCUCGUGUACGCUGCAGGCGGGUUCUGACGCGUCUUCAGGGGCGUUUUUCUCGAAACAUAAGUGUUUGCCACUUACUGUGCUUUAAUUUCUAUCCAUUUUUUUUUAUUUAUCAUCCGAUUUUCUUAAUUUUUGUCUUGUUUUCUUUGUCUUGAAUUGCUUUAUAAAAGUAUGUUAGUAUUUUUUUAUUACUUUUUUUUUUAAUUUAGUAUUAAUUUUAUUAACAACUUGCAACUGACAAAAAAAAAACUGACCGCAUAUUCACUGUGGGUUAAAAGGGUUACAUAUGCAAAAAUUUUAAAAAGUGGAUAGUAAAUGAUGUAGACAAUUUAAUAGACUAUAAAUUCCUAGUUUUAAAAUUAUCCUAUCUCUUAAACUGUUUGAGCCUAUUUAAUUAAGAUGAUGACAUGUUAUUUCUGGGGUUUUUAAUUUUUUUCUUUUUUAUUUUCAGAUAUCGAGCUGAAACUGCGGCAUAAUCAUAUCAAUAUUAAGAUUUACAUAUAAUAAAAUUUUCAUGUUAAUACAACUAUUUUUUCCUACCCCCCCCCAAAUCCACUUCCCUGCCCCUUAACAGAUUACUUACUAUAAAGUUAUCAACACUAAAUAACCCAUAGAGCUGGCAACUACAGGGCAAUGCAAUAUGGCAUUAUUGUACUUGGCACCAAUACAGAAAGGAAUGCUAAGGUAACUGCCCCCAUACAAAAUCAUACCACUACUGUAUCUACACAAUUAUACAAGUUGACAUUCCUUUUGGAGAAGAUGAGACAAGACAAGCUUUGUCACAUCUCUGGUAAUAAAAAGUUGGAGCAAGGGGCCACAGUCCUCAUGUUCCAUCCCUUUUAGUCAACUUUUAUGACAUGCAUGGAAGAGUGGCACCAUUCUCCAGCUAUGGAGUGAGGCUUGGCUGUGUCCCUGUGCUACACAAGGUAUCACCAAAUACAAAGGUAGAAAAAAAUGUCUGCAGAAAAUAGCUAUUAACAAGGUUAUGAGAUUGCACAUAAGUAAAUGCAUCGUCUUUUAUAUUGCAAACUUGACACACUUUUAAUAUUGCACUAGUCAUGAUAUUCAGAAAAUGAUCACUGCUGUCAGGAACACAUUACAGCUUUCAAUCAACCAUUAACAAGACUUGGUGCAACAAAUUCUACACCAAAUCUUGUCUUUUCUCUCUGCAGCCAGGUGGAGAACUGCCAUCACCACUUUCCUCAGUCUGCUUCACUACGUAUCACAAAAAUAAACACACAUUCUCUGAUUCAAGAUUAUCUUACAAUAUGUAUAAUAAAUUCUAUAUACUGCCAAUAUUCCAGAAAACACAAUGGUAUCAUACAACAAAUAUUUUUUAGAUAAUUCAAUAAAAGAUAUUUAUAUCUGUUUUCUAAACUGACCAACAUGAUGGUAGUUACAUGCUGCACCUCAGGAAAAUGAUGAAUUUAUAAAUCCACUAAAUGUCAGGCCUGUAAACCAACAACCCUCCAUUAUACUCAAUGCUUGUGGACAUGACUUUAAAAAGACUUAAAAAAUGAUCAUUCAACAAAUAAUUCAGUAAUAACUAAAAUAUCUCACAAACAUAAGUUAACCAGUACCUUCAUUCUUCCCUUUCUAGUAAACUCUGGAACUUUUUACCCAUUUCUCUUUUUCCCUUUUCCAACGACAUAAGCUGUUUAGGGAGAGGAGUAUCAAGACACCUCAAGAAUACAGAUGUCUCUUCAAUCCUACUUUUUAUGGGACCACAGUUGAGUGAUUUUUUUUUACUAAGAUCUAUCUUGUUAUAUAUCAGGUUGGCAAUCCCACACAGGGUGGCUCACAUACACAGAGGGUGGAAUCAAAAGCUUUUCGUCUCAUCAACUCCUCUCCUCUAACUGACUGUCUUCAGCCUCUCUCUCACCGCCGUAAUGUUGCAUAUCUAGCUGUCUUCUACUGCUAUUUUCAUGCUAACUGCUCUUCUGAUCUUGCUAACUGCAUGCCUCCCGUCCUUCUGUGGCCUUGCUGCACAAGACUUUCUUCUUUCUCUCACCCCUAUUCUGUCCACCUUUCUAACGCAAGAGUUAACCAGUAUUCUCAAUCAUUCAUCCCUGCCUGCUUCUGUAUUUCCACCUUCCUAUGACUUGAAUUCCUUCAAGAGGGAGGUUUCAAGACACUUACUCAUCAAUUUUUGACCACUGCUUUGACCCUUUUAUGGGACUGGCAUUUCAGUGGGCAUAUUUUUUUAUUGGAUUUUUGUUGCCCUUGGCCAGUGUCCUUCCUACACACACACACACACACCAAAAAAAAAAAAAAAAAAAAAAAAAAAAACACACUCUUUAUUAAAAUAAAAGAAUAGAAAU